CACGUAGGUGGCAAGCGUUGUCCGGAUUUACUGGGCGUAAAGAGCGCGCAGGCGGUCGUUCAAGUCGCGUGUGAAAGCCCCCGGCUCAACUGGGGAGGGUCACGCGAUACUGAUCGACUCGAAGGCAGGAGAGGGAAGUGGAAUUCCCGGUGUAGUGGUGAAAUGCGUAGAUAUCGGGAGGAACACCAGUGGCGAAGGCGACUACCUGGCCUGUUCUUGACGCUGAGGCGCGAAAGCUAGGGGAGCAAACGGG
rnacentral:rRNA from 1 species